rnacentral:ncRNA from 1 species
GUACAGUUUACUUGGAUAACUGUGGUAAUUCUAGAGCUAAUACAUGCGAGAAGCGCCGACCUCGCGGGAGGCGUGCAUUUAUCAGACCAAAAACCGGCCGCGUCUUCGGGCGCGUUCGCCUUGGUGACUCUGGAUAACUUUGCGGAUCGCACGGUCUAGCACCGGCGACGGAUCAUUCAAGUGUCUGCCCUAUCAACUUUCGUCGGUACGGUAUUUGCCUACCGAGGUUCUUACGGGUGACGGGGAAUCAGGGUUCGAUUCCGGAGAGGGAGCCUGAGAAACGGCUACCACAUCCAAGGAAGGCAGCAGGCGCGCAAAUUACCCAUUCCCGACGCGGGGAGGUAGUGACGAAAAAUAACAAUGCAGGACUCGUUCGAGGCCCUGUAAUUGGAAUGAGUACACUUUAAAAGCUUUAACGAGUAUCCAUUGGAGGGCAAGUCUGGUGCCAGCAGCCGCGGUAAUUCCAGCUCCAAAAGUAUAUAUUUAAGUUGUUGCGGUUAAAAAGCUCGUAGUUGGAUUUUGGGCGCAGGCGGCCGGUCCGUCGCAAGGCGUGUACUGGACGUCCUGGCCUUCCCUCCGGUUCUCCGCCGGUGCUCUUGACUGAGUGUCGGCGGCGGCCGGAACGUUUACUUUGAAAAAAUUACAGUGUUCAAAGCAGGCUCUCGAGCCUGGAUAAUGGUGCAUGGAAUAAUGGAAUAGGACCUCGGUUCUAUUUUGUUGGUUUUCGGAGCGCGAGGUAAUGAUUAAGAGGGACAGACGGGGGCAUUCGUACUGUGCCGUUAGAGGUGAAAUUCUUGGAUCGGCGCAAGACGAACGACUGCGAAAGCAUUUGCCAAGAAUGUUUUCUUUAAUCAAGAGCGAAAGUCAGAGGUUCGAAGACGAUCAGAUACCGUCCUAGUUCUGACUAUAAACGAUGCCAACUAGCGAUCGGGGGGCGUUACAUUGACGACCCCUCCGGCAGCUUACGGGAAACCAAAGUCUUUGGGUUCCGGGGGAAGUAUGGUUGCAAAGCUGAAACUUAAAGGAAUUGACGGAAGGGCACCACCAGGAGUGGAGCCUGCGGCUUAAUUUGACUCAACACGGGAAAUCUCACCCGGCCCGGACACAGUGAGGAUUGACAGAUUGAGAGCUCUUUCUUGAUUCUGUGGGUGGUGGUGCAUGGCCGUUCUUAGUUGGUGGAGCGAUUUGUCUGGUUAAUUCCGAUAACGAACGAGACUCUGGCUUGCUAAAUAGUUACGCGACCAUCCCGGUCGGCGUUUAACUUCUU